ensembl:processed_transcript Gm10658 predicted gene 10658
CUCUCUCCCCGCCCCUUCCCCUUCAUUGAUCGCCCCUUGCCUCCACCGAAAUAAAAAUAAAUAAUUAAACUAUCCACGAGUAAGAGUCGCCUCCAAAGCAGAGGCUCUUACAUCUCUCACACCGCCACUUGGAGUUUUUCGAGGACUUCGGACUUAGGCCUUUUGGGAUUUGGAGUUCCGCAGGGUGGAAGCUAAAGGAGGUGCAUCUUAACUACACGGCCCCGGUUUCCUUCACACACAACCCAUUUGGAGCUGGGUCUGGAGAAACCUGUAACAGUCUAUGGCCCUACCACUUGGACGCAUCAUAUCUCAGAAGCUAAACAGAGUCCGGCCUGGCUAGCAUUUGGUUGGAUUAGAGAUUAGUCACCGUGAGGAAGCCAAAUCGGAUCCGGGAGUCUUUUUCUAAAGGCCAGUACUGGCCACAUUUUCUCCUGCCGCCUUCCUCAAAGCUGAAGACAUACAGAGCAAGUUAAGCCUUCUCUCUUCAACUAGCUGUAAGCCGCUUCCCACCACAACUGCUGAGCUCCUAGGCAGCAAUGUGAUCUGCACUGCUUCUGAAGUCUGCACUGAUUCUUGGCAGAAAAAUGACAUCUCUUCCUUCUAAACAAGUGUUAAAACAGCUAACAUUCUUACAUGUAUACAUUUAGCAGACAUGCAUUGUACAUUCACUGUAUCAUCUGUCUCCUUCCUGAUACUUGGUUGUAUUUCCUACAUAUAGUAGCAAAUCCACACUGAGGCCUAGACCUUGGCCACUGCUCAGUUUCUUUCGACGAAGGGCCCUUGGCUGACACAGGAGUGGGGAAGACAAUUCUCCCAACUACAGGUGGCUGUUGACAAUGCUCUGAGGACGGGAACUGAGGGAGCAUCGCUUUUCUUCCCUAUCUGAAAAAGGUUAUAAUUAAUGAUGAAACUAAUAAACUAUGAAAUUCCUUACAUUUGGCAGAAUUGCCAAAUUUC